UCUACCCCUAGCCAAACGCGCUCAAAAUAGACUGAAAUUGUGCAUGCAAGUAGGCUACUAGUCAUACACAUCACAAUAUCUUAUUCAAGGCAAAAUUAUCAGAGGGAUUCCCAAGAACUGAGUUCUUCCCUCAGGGGGUAAGAAAAACAACAGAAGUCAAGCUCCUCAAUGUCAUCCAUCGGGCCAGCGCGCCGCACCUCAUUCAUUGGCGCAGCAUCCUCUCCCUCGAUCACCACCUCGCCUUCGGAAUCUU